UCGUCAAAAUCGUUCCAGCCGUUCCAGA
rnacentral:sRNA from 1 species